GAAGAAGGUGCUGGGAGGAAGUUGUUUGGGUUGUCGAUGAAGAUUCAUAAAACCAAAAAGAAAAGGAAGAAAAAUUUAUAGAUGUUGACUGUUGGUACGGGCGGAAUCGGAAAAGUUAAUUUGAGUUCAACUGAUUGUUAUCUUUUAUGCUUUAACCAUGUCGGUAUUAAAGCAGUUUGGUGAAGACUGCUCUAGCCUCUUUAGCAUUACUGAGUCGAUGAGCAAGGGCUUUAGGGAAGUUGCAAGGUGCCAUGAUGGUCAACAGCUUGAACAUUCCGAUACUAUUCAACGAAGGCGGUGAAGUUGCAAGCUACAAAAUAUUCGGAUGCCUAAGGAGAGUCUGAUGGCAAACUGACUGAGGACUCCAAAUGACGAUAACACAUCACUUCUUUGAUGCCAAUGCGGUGUUGCUAAAACAAUCUUAACGGUUCAACUGGGCAGACCAUUGGGAUAAGCAAGCUUGGGAGGAUAGCCAAACAUCAGGAUUUCUUCGUACUAUGGACGUUAUGAAAAAGCUAUCUUGCGUAUUGCCUGUGGAAUAUUUAUUAACAAAAUUGCUAAAUGGAAAAGCUGUAUACCCCAUGAUACAAACGUCUUGCAGAUAAACCCAAUGUGUUAACUGACAGGGAGUGGAAGGAUCUAGUGAAAUUUUGAACUACUGAAAAGCUUCAGGUACUUUCUGGUCGCAAUAUCCAGAGUAGAAGCCACCAGGAAAUCCUAGCUCACAGUGUGUAGGAAAAACAUCCCUUGAUGCAAAGCUGAAAUGGGAGAUGCUGAUCGGGGGAAUGUCAUUGGUGAUUUUGAGUGCAUUGACGAACCCACCUAAAAUUGCAAUAACAUGGAAGAUUGGAUAACAGAAGCCCACGUGUAAAGAUUGAUUUGACACAGGUAGAGGGAUACCAGAAGCACAUCUGCAAUGACUUUAUCGGGGGAAUGAUUCCCCAACAAUUCAUCAUGGAAAUUCUGUACUCUUUAGUAUCGAAGAAAACUCUUUCCUUGCAGCAUUGCAGUGAUUACAAAAUGCUUGUUUGCCAAGUGAUCUUAAAAUUUUAGUUUAUGUUGCGAAACAACUGAACAAGAAAGGGCUACAGAAAUUGGUUGCCAAUGUACAGAACAACUAAUGCCAAUGAGCUAAACUGGCAAUGGGUUAUUCAAUCCAGUUUGUCAAAUUUAUGUACAUACAAGGCAGAAAUAAGAAGGUUUAAAUUUAAAUAUUUGUUUA